UACGAAGGGGGCUAGCGUUGCUCGGAAUUACUGGGCGUGAAAGCGCACGUAGGCGGCUUUCUAAGUCAGGGGUGAAAUCCUGGAGCUCAACUCCAGAACUGCCUUUGAUACUGAAGAUCUUGAGUCCGGGAGAGGUGAGUGGAACUGCGAGUGUAGAGGUGAAAUUCGUAGAUAUUCGCAAGAACACCAGUGGCGAAGGCGGCUCACUGGCCCGGUACUGACGCUGAGGUGCGAAAGCGUGGGGAGCAAACAGG
rnacentral:rRNA from 1 species